rnacentral:tRNA from 1 species
AUGUUUUUAGUAUAUAAAGUACACUUACCUUCCAAGUAAAAAGAUUAAUAAAUAAAAAACAUA